GGGAGCGCGCCGGGGCGCCGGCGGGUGCGCGCGCUCCCCCUGUCCGGGCGCGUGCAGGUCUCGGGGGCCCGCGCUCCGCCUGCGGUGCCUGGAGACCUUCGAGAUGUGUGGGCGCUGCGGCUCGGUGUCAGCGCACUGGACGGCGGGGCCCGGGCCCGGGCCCGGCCCUGCGAGGCCGCUCGGUUCCCCCCGCCGGCGCCCUGGGGCGUCCGGGCCCCGGUUUUGCGCGGUAUUUUCACCCGGCGGCGCCGGCCCUCUGUGCAGCGGCGACCGGCGGCCGCUCUGGCGCGCGUCCCGCCCGUGCGGUGCACACGCCCUACACCUCCCCACCGUGCACAGACUCUUAGGCGCGCCGACCCGGGCCCCGGAGCAUCCUGCUCGCCGCCCUCCUCCCAGCCUGUCCCUGCACGCAGCAGUCCCCCGGGGAGCUCCCUGCUGCGAGCCGAACGAACCUCCCUGCGAAACAGCCUCCCGGGGAGGACAGCAGUGCCCUGGAGAGCGAACACUCCGCCCCCACCGCGUCGACCCCGGACAGGGCGGGACCCUGACGCCCCGGCCCUGGGUACCGGGUGGUGGUUCUCCAGGCCGCCGCUCCUCUUCCGUAGACAGUAGUGAUUAGCCGUAGGGUCGUGGUAGCAGGCCGGCUCUCCCCGUCGUGGGGGUGGAAGGAAGCUCAGCGGUGCUCCUUGAAAGUUGCUCGCGUUGGAAGAGGCCAUUCCCUGUCUACGUGUCCCCAUCUUGAAGAGCAGAUAAUGACACAGUACUCAGGCAAUGCAAUUUUGUUACCGCAAGUGUCAUGCUUUGCAAGUCCCUGGAUGAAAGAGACACAACAAACUCUCCGCUCUUGUUUCCCAUCAGGGUCUCGUGAGCGUCACGCACUCCUUCUUACUGCCAUAUUUUGAGCCAGAUUCACAAACCACUGUCUUCAAAUGUCUGGGUGGUGGAUUUCCCCUCCCCCACACCCACAUCCCUUAGAAGGAUCUGAAGUCAUUUUAUUUACGUUAAUUUAAUUCUUGACUGAAGAGAAACCUGUGUUUUUUUCGUCUUUCUCAAAAACAGAAGUGUUACCACAUGCUCCAGGAGGGAGUGCAAAAUAAUAACAUCUUCAAAAUAUGCAACAUCCACUAAGUAAGACUGCUAAAUCAAUGGAGGAAUCCAGGUACUUGGGUAGACGAAUCAUUGUAGGAAGCAGAAAUUUGGGGGAAACGGAACCAAAGUUACAUUAUUUAGUGUUUGUUCUUGAUGUUAAAUUUGUGCUGUAACUUCUCACCUUUCCACUGUCUUGUUCUCUUUACUGCUUGCCUCCCUCAGCUUAAAACAGACAGGAUAAUUGUCUCCUCCUAUUAUCUUAGACUAUAAACACUUGGUGGAAAGGCAGCACUAUAUUGACCAUAUUUUCUGAACCAAAAAUUAGACUCACAGUUUGGCAUGAGGACUUGUGGCACCAGAAAGAAUAUUUAAAAUUAGGGUUGGUCCAGGGGUGCUUGGGUGGCUCUGUCCGUUAAGCGUCUGACUCUUGAUUUCAGCUCAAGUCAUGACCUCACAGUUUUUGGGAUCGAGCCCUGAGUCAGACUCUGUACUGACAGUGUGGAGCCUGCUUGAGAUUCCUCUCCCCCUCUCUCCCUGUCCCUCCCCAACUUGUGUUCUCUCUCUCUCUCUCUCUCUCUCUCUCUCUCUCUCUC